CACGUAGGGGGCGAGCGUUGUCCGGAUUUAUUGGGCGUAAAGAGCUCGUAGGCGGCUCAGUAAGUCAGGUGUGAAAACUCCAGGCUCAACCUGGAGACGCCACCUGAUACUGCUGUGGCUAGAGUCCGGUAGGGGAGCAUGGAACUCCUGGUGUAGCGGUGAAAUGCGCAGAUAUCAGGAGGAACACCAGUGGCGAAGGCGGUGCUCUGGGCCGGAACUGACGCUGAGGAGCGAAAGCGUGGGGAGCAAACAGG
rnacentral:rRNA from 1 species